rnacentral:rRNA from 1 species
UACGUAGGGUGCAAGCGUUAAUCGGAAUUACUGGGCGUAAAGUGUGCGCAGGCGGCCUUCGCAAGUCGAGUGUCGAAAUCCCCGGGCUCAACCUGGGAAUUGCGAUGGAGACUGCAAGGCUUGGAAUCUGGCAGAGGGGGGGUAGAAUUCCAACGUGUAGCAGUGAAAUGCGUAGAGAUGUGGAGGAACACCCGAUGGCGAAGGCAGCCCCCCUGGGUCAAGAUUGACGCUCGAUGACACGAAAGCGUGGGGAGCAAACAGG